CCCUUAGAUGUUCUGGGCUGCACGCGCGCUACACUGAAGCUAUCAACACGUUUUCCCUCCCUGAGAAGGGCGGGCAACCUUUUGAAUCAGCUUCGUGGUAGGGAUCGGGGCUUGCAAUUGUUCCCCGUGAACCGGGAAUUCCUAGUAGACGCGAGUCAUAAGCUCGCAUCGAUUAAGUCCCUGCCCUUUGUACACACCGCCCGUCGCUACUACCGAUUGAACGUUUUAGUGAGGCAUUUGGACCGACGCAUCUCAGUUUAACCGCUGGUUUGUGUUGGAAAGACUUCCAAACUUGAGCGUUUAGAGGAAGUAAAAGUCGUAACA
rnacentral:rRNA from 1 species